CCAGGCAUGCAGGCUUCAGCAGUUGCAGUUAGCAGCUCUAGAGCACAGUAGUUGUGGUACAUGGGCUUAGUUGCUCCACCGCACGUGGGAUCCUCCCAGGUCAGGGAUUGAACCAGUGUUCCAGGCAUUGCAAGGGGGACUCUUAACCACCGUACCACCAGGGAAGCACGAUCCGUGAUCUUUGAUGUUAACUACUACAACUCGAUUAAGGCUAUUUUGUAGACACCGAAACCCCCACCAGGUGGAAGAAGUUAACUACAUGAAGACCAGACUGUAGCCUGACAUGAGGCGCCACAAUUCUGAGAACUGGCCUCAAAGAGAUGGGAGCCAAGCAACCCUGGAAAUGAAGAUUAACACCUGAACCCACUUUAGAUAACAGAUUUGGUGCCCGCCUGUGGCUGCACUCUCGCGAUGUCUGGCUCCCCGGGUUUUCCGCGAGCAGAGCUGCCGCCAUGAUGACGCUACGAGAGGCCACGGGACCACAGGGUGCUGAGUCAGGAGACGGCAGGGGCCACCAGGAGAACCACAGGGCAGAGGUGUCAGAGGCAACGAGUGGCCGGGACAGCAGGUAGGGAGCAGUCAGUGUGCCCUGGGAACUGCACGUGGCCCUGGGAUCAUGUGGCCAGGGGCAGCCACUGGGAGUGGUGGGAGGUCAUAGACUGUCCCUAGGGUUCAAGUGGCCAGAGAUGGAUAUGGCCUUGAAGACUGUAUGGGACUUGGUAUAAUAAAAAGCCCAAAGGAAACCCAACAUAACAUGGAAAUCUGCACACACAGGUAAAGGACUUUACUAUGAGGAGGACAAUAACCAAUUAUGGUCAGAGACCGAGCAUGUAGCAUUGAGAACACUCGGCUUCCCUGGUGGCUCAGAUGGUAAAGAAUCUGCCUGCAGGGCAGGAGACCCGGAUUCAAUCCCUGGGUUGGGAAGAUCCCCUGGAGAAGAGAA